rnacentral:rRNA from 1 species
GACGAACGCUGGCGGCGUGCUUAACACAUGCAAGUCGAACGGAAAGGCCCUGCUUUUGUGGGGUGCUCGAGUGGCGAACGGGUGAGUAACACGUGAGUAACCUGCCCUUGACUUUGGGAUAACUUCAGGAAACUGGGGCUAAUACCGGAUAGGAGCUCCUGCUGCAUGGUGGGGGUUGGAAAGUUUCGGCGGUUGGGGAUGGACUCGCGGCUUAUCAGCUUGUUGGUGGGGUAGUGGCUUACCAAGGCUUUGACGGGUAGCCGGCCUGAGAGGGUGACCGGCCACAUUGGGACUGAGAUACGGCCCAGACUCCUACGGGAGGCAGCAGUGGGGAAUAUCGCACAAUGGGCGGAAGCCUGAUGCAGCAACGCCGCGUGCAGGAUGACGGCCUUCGGGUUGUAAACCGCUUUCGCCUGUGACGAAGCGUGAGUGACGGUAAUGGGUAAAGAAGCACCGGCUAACUACGUG